GACGAACGCUGGCGGCGCGCUUAACACAUGCAAGUCGAACGGAAAGGCCUGCUUUCCCUUGUGGAUUGCGGGUACUCGAGUGGCGAACGGGUGAGUAACACGUGAGUGAUCUGCCCCCAACUUGGGUAUAAGCCUGGGAAACUGGGUCUAAUUCCCGAUAGGACUGCAGGGUGGUGCCUGUGGUGGAAAACGAUUUUCUAGUGGUUGGGGAUGAGCUCGCGGCCUAUCAGCUUGUUGGUGGGGUAAUGGCCUACCAAGGCGGCGACGGGUAGCCAGCGUGAGAGGGUGGACGGCCACAUUGGGACUGAGAUACGGCACAGACUACUACGGGAGGCAGCAGUGGGGAAUAGUGCGCAAUGGGCGGAAGCCUGAUGCAGCGACGCCGCGUGGGGGAUGACGGCCUUCGGGUUGUAAACUCCUUUCGACCGCGAGGAAGCCACCUGGUUGGAAGGGUGGUGACGGUAGUGGUAGAAGAAGCACCGGCUAACUACGUG
rnacentral:rRNA from 1 species